rnacentral:rRNA from 1 species
GAUGAACGCUGGCGGCGUGCCUAAUACAUGCAAGUCGAGCGGACGGACGAGAAGCUUGCUUCUCUGAUGUUAGCGGCGGACGGGUGAGUAACACGUGUAUAACCUACCUAUCAUACUGGGAUCACUUCGGAAAACCGGAGCUAAUACCGGAUAAUAUUUUGAACCGCAUGGUUCAAAGGUAAGAUACGGUCUUGCUGUCACUACUCGCUGGAUACGGGCUGCAUUAGCUAGUUGGUAAGGUAACGGCCUACCAAGGCAACGAUGCAUAGCCGAAGUGAGAGGGUGAUCGGCCACCCGGGAACUGAGACACGGUCCAGAGUCCUACGGGAGGCAGCAGUAGGGAAUCUUCCGCAAUGGGCGAAAGCCUGACGGAGCAACGCCGCGUGAGUGAUGAAGGUCUUCGGAUCGUAAAACUCUGUUAUGAGGGAAGAACAUAUGUGGAAGGAAAUGUGCAGAGCGUGACGGUACCUAAUCAGAAAGCCACGGCUAACUACGUG